UACAGAGGUCUCAAGCGUUGUUCGGAUUCAUUGGGCGUAAAGAGUGCGUAGGUGGCAGUGGUAAGUCGGAUGUGAAAUCCCGGGGCUCAACCCCGGAACUGCAUUCGAUACUGCUGCGCUAGAGUACUGGAGAGGAGAUUGGAAUUUACGGUGUAGCAGUGAAAUGCGUAGAUAUCGUAAGGAAGACCAGUGGCGAAGGCGGAUCUCUGGACAGUUACUGACACUGAGGCACGAAGGCCAGGGGAGCAAACGGG
rnacentral:rRNA from 1 species